AUUGAACGCUGGCGGCAGGCCUAACACAUGCAAGUCGAACGAAGUCUUCGGACUUAGUGGCGGACGGGUGAGUAACACGUGGGAACGUGCCUUUAGGUUCGGAAUAACUCAGGGAAACUUGUGCUAAUACCGAAUGUGCCCUUUGGGGGAAAGAUUUAUCACCUUUAGAGCGGCCCGCGUCUGAUUAGCUAGUUGGUGAGGUAAAGGCUCACCAAGGCUACGAUCAGUAGCUGGUCUGAGAGGAUGACCAGCCACAUUGGGACUGAGACACGGCCCAAACUCCUACGGGAGGCAGCAGUGGGGAACCUUGCGCAAUGGGCGAAAGCCUGACGCAGCCAUGCCGCGUGGAUGAUGAAGGUCUUAGGAUUGUAAAAUCCUUUCACCGGUGAAAAUAAUGACUGUAGCCGGAGAAGAAGCCCCGGCUAACUUCGUGCCAGCCGCCGCCGUAAUAC
rnacentral:rRNA from 1 species